AGAGUUUGAUCCUGGCUCAGGAUGAACGCUGGCGGCGUGCCUAAUACAUGCAAGUCGAGCGAACGGAUGAGAAUCUUGCUUCUCUGAUGUUAGCGGCGGACGGGUGAGUAACACGUGGAUAACCUACCUAUAAGACUGGGAUAACUUCGGGAAACCGGAGCUAAUACCGGAUAAUAUUUUGAACCGCAUGGUUCAAAAGUGAAAGACGGUCUUGCUGUCACUUAUAGAUGGAUCCGCGCUGCAUUAGCUAGUUGGUAAGGUAACGGCUUACCAAGGCAACGAUGCAUAGCCGACCUGAGAGGGUGAUCGGCCACACUGGAACUGAGACACGGUCCAGACUCCUACGGGAGGCAGCAGUAGGGAAUCUUCCGCAAUGGGCGAAAGCCUGACGGAGCAACGCCGCGUGAGUGAUGAAGGUCUUCGGAUCGUAAAACUCUGUUAUUAGGGAAGAACAUAUGUGUAAGUAACUGUGCACAUCUUGACGGUACCUAAUCAGAAAGCCACGGCUAACUACGUGCCAGCAGCCGCGGUAAUACGUAGGUGGCAAGCGUUAUCCGGAAUUAUUGGGCGUAAAGCGCGCGUAGGCGGUUUUUUAAGUCUGAUGUGAAAGCCCACGGCUCAACCGUGGAGGGUCAUUGGAAACUGGAAAACUUGAGUGCAGAAGAGGAAAGUGGAAUUCCAUGUGUAGCGGUGAAAUGCGCAGAGAUAUGGAGGAACACCAGUGGCGAAGGCGACUUUCUGGUCUGUAACUGACGCUGAUGUGCGAAAGCGUGGGGAUCAAACAGGAUUAGAUACCCUGGUAGUCCACGCCGUAAACGAUGAGUGCUAAGUGUUAGGGGGUUUCCGCCCCUUAGUGCUGCAGCUAACGCAUUAAGCACUCCGCCUGGGGAGUACGACCGCAAGGUUGAAACUCAAAGGAAUUGACGGGGACCCGCACAAGCGGUGGAGCAUGUGGUUUAAUUCGAAGCAACGCGAAGAACCUUACCAAAUCUUGACAUCCUUUGACAACUCUAGAGAUAGAGC
rnacentral:rRNA from 1 species